CACAGCACUGACACACAUACAUAACUGACAAACACAGUACUGAAACACACACAGCACUGACAAGAACACACACAGCUCUGACACACACACGCACAGCUCUGACACACACAGUAUUGACACACACACACACACAGCUCUCUGACACACACAGCUCUGACAAGAACAUACAGCACUGAAAAGAACACACACAGCUCUGACAAACACACA